UUAGAUAUUAUAAUUAUGGUGUAUGUAUGCGAGUGCACGUCCAAAUUAUAACCGUGUUUCCUACGCGAGCGCCACCACUUAAAUAGCUUAACCCUAUUUACUGUUUUCCUACUUCCAUUUGGAAUUUAGUGACUGGAAUUUUUAUUGUUUUUUUUUCAUUGGUUAUUUAUACAUCACUGUGAAAGCUAAAAAAGAUCGCGUUAAAAUUCAUAAGGCAUAUGAUACCAAAGAAACAUAUUUUUGAGAAAAAAGUUGUUCGUAGCGAGGACCUUAACAUUUACAACAACACAUUCUAAGAACAUUGAGAUCGAUCGUUUAUCGUAGGCAAUUUUGGAUUUCCGUC